rnacentral:lncRNA from 1 species
UGAGACUCUAUCUCAAAAAUAUAAAUAAAUAAAAAAUAAAGUCCCAUCUUCAGUAUUUCAGGCUGGUCAGAGGCUUUUUGUGGGAGGGGGGAUAUGGGGAAACCAUGUGCAGGGCUUGGGAUCAAGAGGUGACCGAGGACCACAGACAUCUAGGAGCCAGCGAGGGUCUGAAGAGGUUGGGAACUUCUUUGUCCUUAGUCAAGGGUCAUGAUGCUCCUAUAAAUCCUUAACAAAACGUAGUUCCUGGCUUACCUACUUCCCCUCUAAUCCCAGAGUUAGUUUUACGAACUACAUGAUUGCUGUUUGUGCAUUUUAUCUCAGUGCUGUAAAUUAUCCCGGCUUACAAACGGGAAUGGGUAAAGGCCCCUUGAAAAAAAAAAAAAAGGA